CCUGUCGUUUUCCCGACAGUAGCCUAAGAGGGCAGGCGUGGCUGGUAACGGCUGGGUCUGAAGCCUCUCUGACAAUGUAGCCCACUCUGAAAGGAUGAUGCUAAAACUGUGAGGUGGAAGCGGAACUGCGAGCAUUACGCGGUAGGGAGC
rfam:Gallionella sp. ShG14-8 contig00567, whole genome shotgun sequence.